UUUAGUCUUUAACUUUGAAAACUCUAAAAUGAAGGUGGGUUUGUAUAUUGAUUUUCUAACAAAUAGUCCAUAUUAAUACAAGUUUGAAUACAUUGUAAGAACACUUCUUUAAUCCAAUAAAUGAAGUAUUGCUUUUCGGUCUCCUGCUUAGACUGAUGCCCCCGCGACCCGGCCCCGGAUAAAGCGGAAGAGGAUGAUGAAUGAAUGGACAUCGUUGCCAUGAACAAGAAAUAAUGUCCGUUACUGAAAAUAAGUCGUGGCAGGACUUUGUUGACUCCAGUCUUCAGGAGAAGAUUCAUGAGGAGAGGAUAUGGAUGGAGAAGAUGUUCAGCAGCCUGAAGACCGAGGUGGAAAGCUGGAUCAUUGAGAUGCAGCAGGAGUGGAGGCUGAGGGAGAGGACUCACAGAGACCAGGUCUACAAGCUGCUGCUUAUGGACCUUCCUCAGAGGAAGAGAGCCAUUGACCGCCUCAGAGAGAUGGACCUCCUCAACAGUCGGCUGGAUAGAGCGGAGGACAGAGAGGAGAGAUGGAAGUCCCUGAGAGAUGCCUGCCUGGUAAACAAGCUGAGGGAGGAGAAGAAAAAUGAGAAUGAGAAAAUUAUGAGCUUGAAGGCAGAGCUGGAGCAACAGAAAACAGAUGUGGACAGAAGGGAGAGAAAGGUGCAGCAAAUGGAGAGGGACAUCCUGACCAAGACAAAUGAAGUCAAUUACAAAGUAAUCUCUGUGAACCGAAAGGUGAUCGCUCUAAGGUCUAUGGCUGAGAACAUCAAAAAGGAGCAAAAAACCCUGUUGAGAAUCCAGGGCAGGCAUGAACACCAGGGACCAGGUGAAGAACUCCUGACUAGUCCACAGAACCAGGGUGUGAAAAUGCACACUUUGAGGAAACAGGAACCCUCUAAGGUUAGGAGCCCGGCAAAGAAACAGGGAACAAAUGUAAGAAUCCUGAGAGUGCGAGAGUUUCAGGGAAGUCCAAAAAAACUGGAAUCUCGGACGCAAGAUAUCCAGACCAGGAGAAAGAACUUGACAACUCAACAGAGCACCAAAAAUCAGGAUGCAAUGAAAAGUGUCAAGCAGACCACAGAUGAAGGCAGAGAGGAUCCCUUUGUGAGAGCACAUGAAGUGCCAGAGGCUGCACAGAGUGAGAGAGAGGAAAAGCCAAGAGAGCAGUCCUUCACAGAGAAAAUGGUGAAAAAGAAAGCAGAUUUCCUAAAGAAAAUGGAUGAGACGAUGAAUGAGAGAAGGCAGACGAAGAGGGAGAAUGAGCAGAGGAAGUGGAAGGAGUUACAGAAGAGACAGGAGAUGUGGCAGAGGAAGAGGGAGAGUGAACAGAGGAAGUGGGAGGAGUGGGAGAGAAAGGACAGGGAAUGGAAGGAAGAGCGAAUGACUGAGGAGCAGAAGAAGAGACGGGCAGAUAAAGAGGAAGCGGAGAGGGUUAAGGCACUGCUUCCCAAGAAAAAGAACAAAUUCAAGUCAUUUGUUUUUCAUUUAUUCUUUGUGUAAUUCAAAACCAAGUUCAGCAAACUCUAAUCUGGCUUGUAGCAGUAGAGAAAGUAUACCACUCAAUUUCCCUUUGGCCUCAGUUUAACAUCUAGCAUUUAUAAAAUGGAAUAAAGUGGAUGCAUUUUUAUUCCAAAGAAAAUGUGAAUGUGUGCUUUCUGCAAAUCGAUAUUAUUAUUGACUCUUAUACUGACAGGAAAGAAAGAGAACCCUGGUGGUAGCACCCCAACGAUGCCUGGAGAUUUGACAUGGUUCUGUCUGGGAUAUAAUGAGUGAUAGUUGGACACGUUUGUUGGUAACUCGUAGAAAAGCUAUUAUCCAUGAGGGGUGGUGGUAAACAACUUAUUUAUCAUGGCUGGAUUGACCUAAGUUACUUGGUAAAUGCCUUGUACCUAUGAAAGUUGUUUACCAUGUUGAACAGUAUGGCCCAGUGAGAGAAUGGACUGACCAGAACCAGUUUUAAAGUUUACAAAAAAGCCAGUGAAUUAGGAUACAUUGAAAAACUGUUUAACUUAAAACCUAAACAGUGAGGAUGUGUGUUCUACAUAUUCAUAUUAUGGUUAAUGAGUCUUUAACUGACAGGAAAGAAAGAGACAUGAGUAGCAGUAUAGAGGGCCAUAGCUGUUAUACACCAUGGAGAUGAAAAGGUAUUUACAGUUAACCUUGAGUGUGUGAUCUAAAUUGC
ensembl:lncRNA